CACAGUAAAUAUUUCACAACUUUCCUGGUACAUGAAAUUUCACAAGAUUCCUUUAGCAAGUUUAUACCCAGGGCGCCAGUGAAACGUGCUAUUUUAUAGGGGUUAAAUAAUAUUGCAAAGCUCCGGCUUGUUCAAAGAAAGCUAUAGCACGUUAGCACAAAAAAAUGAAAUUAAAUCUUAAUAAAAAAUGUGGUGUCUAAAUUGCUUGCUAUAGGAACCUAUUUUGGGAGAUGAAAAAGCUGGCGCUGAUGCCCUACUAAAUUAAAUCAUGGAAAGGACCGACCUCAGAAUUUAAACGUUCCUCAGAUGCAGCGGGGUGACAGGCUGCUUUCCCCGGUGAAGCUAGAUGCUGAGCGGAGACGUAGAGCUCAGGGGCCGCGCACGUGGUACCAAAAUGACGUGGCAGAGGUAGAUGGCGUGUUUAAAUUCUUCGCUCCAGGAGGUCUCCAAAACUAAAUUGACUUCUAGGAUUUUUGAAGCUUUUGAGAUAAAUUACUCAACGAAUGAAAUAAAUGAAUGAAUAAAUCAGUAAAUAAAUCCCGGCUCCUGAAAACCGAGAAAAGGUUGUAUUAGCCUUCGCCCUUUAUGGCCUCUAGAAAAGAGAUGAAACCAUUGGAAAUUUGGCUCACCGCACUGGUAGCUGCUAAGCCUUCUGGCGGAGCGCUCCCUUCCCUCGAGCAGGAGUCUCUCUGCAAAGAACCAAAAUUUGGUUAAGAACAAACCCACAACGUCUCGCGCCAUUGUGGAGUUGAUCACCACGAAAUUUAAUUUCUACUCACUCAGUGGAGCUUCCGAAGGACUCAAGCCGUUUCCAUCUUUCAGACCACCAUGCCGAAAGUGUGGCCUUCCCACAAAUUGGGCUCUUGCGAGCGAGUGUCCCCAGAGGGGGUCCCGAAUCAAAUGUGCAUAUCAUUCUCGAAUGAUCUCCAAUAUGGAGUCCCUGAGAGCCCUAACAAAAGGUAAUAGGGUGGCAGUCCCUUGAAGACACAAAUCCCACGAAAAUUCUGUCUGAAUUAUUUAGACAAUAUCACUCCUGAGCCUAAGAAAUAUAUUUUUACCAUUUAA